rnacentral:rRNA from 1 species
AUUGAACGCUGGCGGCAUGCCUUACACAUGCAAGUCGAACGGUAACAGGUCUUCGGAUGCUGACGAGUGGCGAACGGGUGAGUAAUACAUCGGAUCGUGCCCGAGAGUGGGGGAUAACGAGGCGAAAGCUUUGCUAAUACCGCAUACGAUCUCGGGAUGAAAGCAGGGGACCGCAAGGCCUUGCGCUCACGGAGCGGCCGAUGGCAGAUUAGGUAGUUGGUGGGAUAAAAGCUUACCAAGCCGACGAUCUGUAGCUGGUCUGAGAGGACGACCAGCCACACUGGGACUGAGACACGGCCCAGACUCCUACGGGAGGCAGCAGUGGGGAAUUUUGGACAAUGGGCGCAAGCCUGAUCCAGCCAUGCCGCGUGCAGGAUGAAGGCCUUCGGGUUGUAAACUGCCUUUGUACGGAACGAAACGGCCUGCUCUAAUACAGCGGGCUAAUGACGGUACCGUAAGAAUAAGCACCGGCUAACUACGUGCCAGCCGCCGCCAUAAUAC